UGGAACCAAUUUUGAAUCUCUAAAUAAUUCUCCAGACAUUAGAUUCAAUAUUGGUAUAAAUAAGGGCGAGUCCCACUCAAAGAUUACUUUUAAUUACUUCUGUGAGCAAGACUGCCCUGAAUACAAUUACAUAUUUACAGAUGCCUCUAAACACGGUUCGUCUGGAAAUGUAGGCAUAGGAGUGUUUCACUUACAAAGUAAAACUACAAUAAAAAUAAAGUUUCCUCCAGAAUCCUCGAUUUUCACAGGGGAAUGUUACGGUGUCUUUGAAGCUUUAAAACUAGUUUUGAGUAAGAAACUUAAGAAAUCAAUUAUUUUUACAGAUUCACUUAGUGCUCUUCAAGCUCUCCAAAAGUUUCCAUUAAAAAACAAAUUAAUUUUUCCUAUCAUUAUUGAGAUUAGGAGUUUGCUGUAUAUAUGUAAGCAAUUAGGGCUGUCUGUGUCAUUUGGUUGGAUACCUGGGCAUUCUGGUAUUUUUGGUAACGACAUAGCAGACCAACUAGCAAAUGAAGCUGUUAAAGAUGGCGAUGCUAAUUCGUAUAAAAAUUAUUAUCAUGAUUUGGCCUCACUUCCUGUUUAUUUUCUUAGAAAAUCUUGGGCUGAUCUUUGGAUUCAGAGCAGUUUAAUUAAGGGUAAAUAUUUUUCAUCCAUACAGCCCACAAUACCACUGAAACCAUGGUUUUUUAAAAUGAAAUUUAAUAAAAAGGAAACAUCGUCUCUUAUUCGUAUGAGAUUGGGUCAUGUGUGUACCCCAGCACAUCUUACCAGAUUUCAUAUUAUUGAUAAUGAAAUGUGUGAGUGUGGGCUGAAUAUUGGUGAUUUAAAUCAUAUCAUUCUGUCCUGUCCUCGGUUUGACCACUCCAUGUUAUUUGAUCACUCUGAUCCUUCUUCCAGUAUUCCGUUACCUACAUCUGUUCCUGUUUUGCUUUCAUCUUUAAAUCAUAAUGUAUACAACAUGUAACAUAUUUAACGCACACCCUCAAACACCCCAAUUAGACUUUAAUAGUAUAAACGCUAUGCAUACACCAAAUAUUAUUUAUAUGUGCGUUAACAUUGAUUAUUUGUGAAAUUAGUUAUUCCAAUUUCGUGGAAAUAAAAUGGUCACCGAUUCACACUCCGCUGCGCACGCACACACAGACACCUACUCGCCGCGCCGCUUGUUCAAUGCACUUUAAUGACCGUUUUCGUAUUUGUUGUUUUAUUUUAGAUAAUACUGCAAUGUCACUUUUCACUUUAUCAAAGGCGGUUAUUAUCUUAUUCUUUAGUUCUUCGGCACUUAUUGUCUGUGUGUUAUAAACUAGUGAUUUAAUUCGCCCCCACAAAAAAAAGUCGAGAGGCGUCAAAUCAGCUGAUCUAGGAGGUCACUGACCGAAAAGACAUAGCGAAAUACGGGAGAUAUUUUAUUUGCACUAUCACUUGACCUCUUAUCGAUAAGGUGGACGCGGCGUGACUGACUUGUCAAAAAUAUUUUGUUGACUUCGUUGUUUAGAUUUUUCUUUGAUCACCGCCGACGCGACGCAACCGCGUCGCAUCGGGAUUAGCCUGCCGUUUAUUGUAAGAAUAUUAAGCCGACGAAAGAAAGGGAUAGUAAUUAUUUUUGUAUUACGUGGUUUUCUUUUAUGUAUUGUAGUGUUGUUGUGUGCCGGCGGUCGCUGUUGGUAUUGUGUGCGUAGGUAUUUUAUUUUGUAAUAGACUAUUAACCUUGAAAUAAGUAUCAGAUUUAUUUAAUUAAAUAAAUUUUUUUUUACUAAUUAGAUAUUUCAUUUUAAAAAGUCUUAAUACCCUGACUUACGUUCCAUUUUCGUUUUUAUGAAUUGUUUAGCUAGCUGUGUAGGGUGACUGUAAUUUACUUAGUUUUAACUAAAUUUUAGAAAAAAAAUUUGGUACAUAAAAAACAAUCAAAAUCGAUCCAGAUUCCGAUUCUGAACAAAUUACUUUCAGGGUGUGCGUUAAUUAUGUUACAUGUUGUAUAAAAAGUUAUGUUUAUUUCUUACUGUAAAUAAUAUACAAUUAUAAGUACAUACCUAUGUAUAUAAUUAAUAUUCUAUUUAAUUUAAUUUAUUAAUUACUGUUCUUUUCCUUAGCGUAGAAUUUUGUAUUAGAGAUAGUUUUUAUCCUGCUGAUCCUUUCCUUUAUCCGAUGUAAAUUUCGUUCGAUGUAAAAUUCUUUUCCUUUUCUACUCCGUUUCCUUACCUUUGUCUGUGGCAAUACGCACUGCGUGAUGCCAUUAGAAAAAAAAAAAAAAAAAAAAAAAAAAAAAAAAUGUGCGCUCAUUGUUUGCACAUUGGUGUUAGUUACAGUAUAAAAAGAGGCAGGACCUACAAAAUUUAUGAAAAAGUCUUAUUCGCAAAAUUUAUAAGUAUGUAUAAUUACUGAUGGUAGUCCGUAUUGUAUGGCCGUCUGCACAGCUAGGUAGUCUGCAAAAAUGAUAAGGAGACCACUGACGGAAAUUACACUUAAACUAGAUGAUUUACAAGAAUAUGAAGCUUAUCGAAGGGAAAAGAGUAAUACUUCGUCUACAGGUGCGGAAAUGCAAGAAGACACACCAAAAUCUCUAGGAGCGGGAACAAAAACUAGUGAAGAUAUUCACAAUAGAAUCGGUUAUGCUCCAAAAAAGAAGCCAAGUGGUCCUAGCACUGUUUAAAUAUGUACUUGACUCAUAAUUAAGUAGUAAUAAAUGUGAAUUUGUGUCAAAUGAAA